UACGAGAGGCCCAAACGUUAUUCGGAAUUACUGGGCUUAAAGAGUUCGUAGGCGGUAUGAAAAGUAGGGUGUGAAAGCCCUCGGCUCAACCGAGGAAUUGCGCUCUAAACUGUCGUACUCGAGGAACCUAGAGGUGAGCAGAACUGAUGGUGGAGCGGUGAAAUGCGUUGAUAUCAUCAGGAAUACCGGAGGCGAAAGCGGCUUCCUGGUCCAGCACCGACGUUCAGGCACGAAAGCGUGGGGAGCAAACAGG
rnacentral:rRNA from 1 species